rnacentral:lncRNA from 1 species
UGUUCGAGUGUUCAAUUUCCUUAGGAUUUGAGCGAUAUUUCUAACACUGGGGUUACAGGCGUGCACCACCAUGCCCGGCUAAUUUUUGUAUUUUUAGUAGAGACGGAGUUUCGCCAUGAUGGCCAGGCUGGUCUCAUGAUGGUCACUCCUGGCCUCAAGUGAUCUGCCAGCCUCAGCCUCCCAAAGUGCUGGGAUUACAGGCCUGGCAACUGCACCCGGCCUCCAUUUGUAUAUUUCAAAACAUCCUUUGAAAUAAUAGGCAGUAGUAAGUAAACUGUUUUCCUGGGUUCUGUUAGCCACUACUGCCAAUUAUUGAACCUGAGGAGGAAGUCAAAGGAACCUCCAAUUUUUAGCCAAGUUGGACAGAAGCUGUGGGCAAUCUGGAGACCUCUACUUGUGAUUGGCAUCUGAAGUGGGGGGCAGUCUUAUGAGACUGAGCCCUUAACCUAUGGGAUCUGACACUAUUUCCAGGUCAGGCUGCUAUCACAGGACAUCCUGAGGAAGCAGCUCGGAAGCCUUCCCGAGGAGAGUGGGAAGAUCCCGUGAGCAAGCAGGCACGUGUGGCUGUGGGAUUGGGUGAAGAACUGCACUCUGACUCAGCUUCCCAUCUUCAUGGCCCAGGAGCAAAUUCCUCAGGAUCCUGAAAGAGAGCCACACAUUUCCUGCCUCUCAGCUGUCUGUGCUUGCUGAUGUCUGACCUAAAUGACCUUAACAGAGCCAACCAGGGUGACAGUGGCACUACUGAGAAAUGCCUGAAACUUCUCUUUGAAAGCCCAAUGCUGGAUGGAAAGCUGAAUUUUCCAGUGACUGUCCCAUGAAGUUGCCACUUCACAAGGUAUCAGAUGAUGAUGACGAUGAUGAUGAUGAUGAUGAUGAUGAUGAUGAUGAUGAUGAUGAUGGUGAUCAUAUCCAGAGAGAAGCAAAGUGAAUGUGUACCAUUGUGUCUUGAAUCCAGCUUGGCCAUAAGGAAAUGGGGCGAGACUUUGUCAUGUAUGUCGCUGAAGUUCAGCUAUGCAAAAAUGUUCACCUAUCCUUGAUCAACCAGUCCAGGAACCAUCAAAGAAGAAAAUGAGAUUCGACUUAGAAGACCUGUUCUUUAUAAACCCCUGCACAGCCCUAAUGAUCAACACCACUUCCAGUGCUCAUAAAUUACUGCUUCAAUAAUUGUUCUGCAAUUCUGCCUAUUCUCAUUGAAUGCUUCGUAUAAUCCCUUUAUUUACUUUGGGCUACGAUUCAUUUUUAUCAGUCAAAUGACUACUAGACUAUCCUGGUUUCUAAUUUGAAAUGUAUCCAAAGAAGAUUCCUGUCUCACCCUCUGCAAUCCACUUGCAUGUCUGACCACACUCGGUGCCUACACAAUCUUCACUUUGUCUAGCCUAAAUUCUUCUAACUGUGGCCUAAGGCCUUGGAAGAAUGAUGCCUCUGUGGGGUAAGAACUGCCUUCGUGGCAUAAGAAAGGCAGACCUGGGUGAUCUGGAAGGGCUGUUGCAAGGGGAUAGGAGUGCUGAGGCCUUUUCCAUUAAGAAUACACAGGACUAUGGAGACUCUUGUUUUACUAGAAACUUCUUCACAGAUACCUUAAAUUAGGAAGAAAAUGCCUUUGGUUCUUGGUUCUACUAUUGGCUUCAAAUUCUUAGGCAUGCCAGACCCUACUGAACAUCUUGACACAUGUCCUUUCUUCUCUGAACUGGCGCACAGGCAUGGUGAGUAACU